AUAGCUAUUGCGGAAUUGAAAUGUUGAUAUUUGCAAUAUUUUUCUUGUGUUCUGAAUUAACGUAAGUUUUGAGGGUAUUUUACGCGUGAAUAUCGAGAAAGACAGAGAAACACAGAGGAGAAGUCGAUAACAUUAUCUUGUUUACAUCAGGGAUCAAUAUUCUUGCGAUGAAGAUGUUGUUAUCGGAAUACACUCAGCUAGUCCUCGUGCUGAGUGCAGUGGUUUUAGUAUAUUCAUUAAAAGCACCAGAAAUUAGGCUCGAUUCAUCAAAAGAAGUAACAUUAGGAAGCAAUGUGACAAUCGACUGCGUCGCUGAGGGAGAUCCAACACCAGUAGUCAAACUGUACAGAAAUGGAGUAUUUAUAGAAGGACAAGAACCAACUACUUUUCCGGUAUCCUUAAUUUACAGCCCCUAUUGAUAAAACAUGUUCAAAAGCAAAAAAGGGUUUCAUCUAUUGCAACACUCGAACGUAAAGUCAUUUUUCGUUUUUAUCGCACGCUGAAAAGUGAGGGCAAGGUUAAGGCAUAGAUCAAACCCUGAAACAACCUCUGGGCUGAUUUAAGUCAGGGCAAGGCUAACUCUGUGACUAAAUGCCAAGACAUGGUUGAAAUAAUUUAUGAUUAAUUGCUAUCAAUUCUUGAUAUUGUUGGUGGAUUAAGCAGAAUUAAGCUAUUCAGUAUGUCUUCACAUCGAUAUUUAAAUAAACUAUGACCAGUAACUGGCAGCUAGAUUCGGUAUCAAACGGGAUAUACUGAAUAUUCCAGGCUUGUUUACUAUACUGAUACGGAUGUUUUUAAUACAUUUUACUUUUGUGU